rnacentral:rRNA from 1 species
AGAGUUUGAUCCUGGCUCAGGACGAAUGCUGGCGGUGUGCUUCACACAUGCAAGUCGAACGAGGUAGCAAUACCUAGUGGCGGACGGGUGAGUAACGCGUGGGAAUCUGCCUUAAGACGGGGGAUAGCUAGCCGAAAGGCUAAUUAAUACCGCAUAAGCCUAUAUUUCGACAGUUUUAUAGGUAAAAGGAGUAAUCCAUC